UACAGAGGGUGCAAGCGUUGUUCGGAAUUAUUGGGCGUAAAGGGCGCGUAGGCGGUGCGGUAAGUCUGUAGUGAAAUCUCUGGGCUCAACUCAGAGUCUGCUAUAGAAACUGCCGUGCUAGAGUGUGGGAGAGGUGAGUGGAAUUCCCGGUGUAGCGGUGAAAUGCGUAGAUAUCGGGAGGAACAUCUGUGGCGAAAGCGGCUCACUGGACCACAACUGACGCUGAGGCGCGAAAGCUAGGGGAGCAAACAGG
rnacentral:rRNA from 1 species